GCAAACAUGGCGGCGCUGCCUUAAUCAUGCUAGCCCGAGCGGAACAAACGAGAGCUUGCUCUUCUUCGGUCAGCGGCGGACGGGUGAGUAACACGUGGGCAACCUGCCCGCAAGACCGGGCUAACUCCGGGAAACCGGAGCUAAUACCGGAUAACACCAAAGACCGCAUGGUCUUUGGUUGAAAGGCGGCUUCGGCUGUCACUUGCGGAUGGGCCCGCGGCGCAUUAGCUAGUUGGUGAGGUAACGGCUCACCAAGGCGACGAUGCGUAGCCGGCCUGAGAGGGUGACCGGCCACACUGGGACUGAGACACGGCCCAGACUCCUACGGGAGGCAGCAGUAGGGAAUCUUCCGCAAUGGACGAAAGUCUGACGGAGCGACGCCGCGUGAGCGAAGAAGGCCUUCGGGUCGUAAAGCUCUGUUGUGAGGGACGAAGGAGCGCCGUUUGAAUAAGGCGGCGCGGUGACGGUACCUCACGAGAAAGCCCCGGCUAACUACGUGCCAGCAGCCGCGGUAAUACGUAGGGGGCGAGCGUUGUCCGGAAUUAUUGGGCGUAAAGCGCGCGCAGGCGGUCCUUUAAGUCUGAUGUGAAAGCCGACGGNUCAACCGUGNAGGGUCAUUGGANACUGGGGGACUUGANUGCAGGAUUUAAUUCGAACCAACGCGAAGAACCUUACCAGGUCUUGACAUCCCCUGACAACCCAAGAGAUUGGGCGUUCCCCCUUCGGGGGGACAGGGUGACAGGUGGUGCAUGGUUGUCGUCAGCUCGUGUCGUGAGAUGUUGGGUUAAGUCCCGCAACGAGCGCAACCCUUGCCUCUAGUUGCCAGCAUUCAGUUGGGCACUCUAGAGGGACUGCCGGCUAAAAGUCGGAGGAAGGUGGGGAUGACGUCAAAUCAUCAUGCCCCUUAUGACCUGGGCUACACACGUGCUACAAUGGGCGGUACAAAGGGCUGCGAACCCGCGAGGGGGAGCGAAUCCCAAAAAGCCGCUCUCAGUUCGGAUUGCAGGCUGCAACUCGCCUGCAUGAAGCCGGAAUCGCUAGUAAUCGCGGAUCAGCAUGCCGCGGUGAAUACGUUCCCGGGCCUUGUACACCCCGCCCGUCACACCACGAGAGCUUGCAACGCC
rnacentral:rRNA from 1 species